CUUCAGUAUGAUCAUCAUCUGCAAGGACCUGAUGAGACCCAGGGUGCAGCUGAGGCUAUGGUGCAGCUCUCUGCCCAGUACUCAUACUAUCAGCAGGGUGAAGGAGGUGAAGAAUAUAACCCAGAGGGACUGGCUGGUGAAGGCAGUAUGGAGGUGGAUGCUAGCUAUGAUCCCUCAGUAGAGUUUCUUGGUGGCAUGAUGCCAUCACAGCCACAUGAUGACGGUAAUAUCAAAUGACU